rnacentral:misc_RNA from 1 species
GGAAGUAAAAGUCGUAAUAAGGUUUCCGUAGGUGAACCUGCGGAAGGAUCAUUAACGAAAUGAAUGUCGAAAAGGGUUGUAGCUGGCCUCUUGAGGCAUGUGCACACCUUGAUCGCACAUCCAUAUCUCACACCUGUGCACAACCUGUAGCCUGGGAUGAUUACAAUGCUGGGAACAGUGUUGAAAGCCCUUGCUAUGAAAUUUUACACACACAUAUUAAAAGUUAUAGAAUGUUAUAUAGCGUGUAACAGCGCAAAUAAAUAUACAACUUUCAGCAACGGAUCUCUUGGCUCUC